ACUCCUACGGGAGGCAGCAGUGAGGAAUACUUGGACAAUGGGGGCAACCCUGAUCCAGCCAUGCCGCGUGCAGGAAGACUGCCCUAUGGGUUGUAAACUGCUUUUGUACAGGAAGAAACAUUCCCUCGUGAGGGAGCUUCGACGGUACUGUUAAGAAUAAGGAUCGGCUAACUCCGUGCCAGCAGCCGCGGUAAUACGGAGGAUCCAAGCGUUAUCCGGAAUCAUUGGGUUUAAAGGGUCCGUAGGUGGACGAUUAAGUCAGGGGUGAAAGUCUGCAGCUCAACUGUAGAAUUGCCUUUGAU
rnacentral:rRNA from 1 species